rnacentral:rRNA from 1 species
UACGUAGGGGGCAAGCGUUGUCCGGAUUUAUUGGGCGUAAAGAGCGUGUAGGCGGCUAGAUAGGUCCGUUGUGAAAACUGGAGGCUCAACCUCCAGCUGUCGAUGGAAACCAUCUGGCUAGAGUCCGGAAGAGGAGAGUGGAAUUCCUGGUGUAGCGGUGAAAUGCGCAGAUAUCGGGAAGAACACCCGUGGCGAAGGCGGUUCUCUGGGCCGAUACUGGACGCUGAGGAGCGAAAGCGUGGGGAGCGAACAGGAU